rnacentral:rRNA from 1 species
GACGAACGCUGGCGGCGUGCUUAACACAUGCAAGUCGAACGAUGAAGCCGGAGCUUGCUCUGGUGAAUUAGUGGCGAACGGGUGAGUAACACGUGAGUAACCUGCCCUUGACUCUGGGAUAACUGCGGGAAACUGUAGCUAAUACCGGAUACGACCCUCGGAGGCAUCUCCUGGGGGUGGAAAGAAUUUCGGUCAAGGAUGGACUCGAGGCCUAUCAGCUAGUUGGUGAGGUAAAGGCUCACCAAGGCGACGACGGGUAGCCGGCCUGAGAGGGUGACCGGCCACACUGGGACUGAGACACGGCCCAGACUCCUACGGGAGGCAGCAGCGGGGAAUAUUGCACAAUGGGCGCAAGCCUGAUGCAGCAACGCCGCGUGAGGGAUGACGGCCUUCGGGUUGUAAACCUCUUUUAGCAGGGAAGAAGCGAAAGUGACGGUACCUGCAGAAAAAGCACCGGCUAACUACGUGCCAGCAGCCGCAGUAA